rnacentral:rRNA from 1 species
AGUGAACGCUGGCGGUAGGCCUAACACAUGCAAGUCGAACGGCAGCACAGGAGAGCUUGCUCUCUGGGUGGCGAGUGGCGGACGGGUGAGGAAUACAUCGGAAUCUACUCUGUCGUGGGGGAUAACGUAGGGAAACUUACGCUAAUACCGCAUACGACCUACGGGUGAAAGCAGGGGACCUUCGGGCCUUGCGCGAUUGAAUUAGCCGAUGGCGGAUUAGCUAGUUGGCGGGGUAAAGGCCCACCAAGGCGACGAUCCGGAGCUGGUCUGAGGGGGUGAGCAGCCAAACUGGAACUGAGACACGGUCCAGACUCCUACGGGAGGCAGCAGUGGGGAAUAUUGGACAAUGGGCGCAAGCCUGAUCCAGCCAUACCGCGUGGGUGAAGAAGGCCUUCGGGUUGUAAAGCCCUUUUGUUGGGAAAGAAAUCCAGCUGGCUAAUACCCGGUUGGGAUGACGGUACCCAAAGAAUAAGCACCGGCUAACUUCGUGCCAGCAGCCGCCGUAA